rnacentral:rRNA from 1 species
UACGUAGGGUGCGAGCGUUAAUCGGAAUUACUGGGCGUAAAGCGUGCGCAGGCGGUUUUGUAAGCCAGAUGUGAAAUCCCCGGGCUCAACCUGGGAAUGGCAUUUGGGACUGCAAGGCUGGAGUGUGGCAGAGGAGACUGGAAUUCCUGGUGUAGCAGUGAAAUGCGUAGAUAUCAGGAGGAAUACCGAUGGCGAAGGCAGGUCUCUGGGCUGACACUGACGCUCAUGCACGAAAGCGUGGGGAGCGAACAGG